UAUCGAAAAUUUGAAACUGCAAGGAUUGUUGGUAAAAAUUGCAUUUAAUAUGUCACACCUUUUUGAACUGCUGUCAUUCCUCUAAUUUGAUAAUUUCAAAUAGUACUAAAUUGAAUUAAAGCAAAUCUUUGCGUGUUAAUUGUCCAUAUUACUAAAACAAAUACUUACAGUAGAAGCAUACGUUUUUCAGUUAGUAGCUGGUUUUCGAGUUGAUAGCUGUUUAUUUAUGGAAUUUUACUAUUCAAAAUAUGCCUAUAUCUAAAUAUGUUUGAAAGUGUUAGACAAUGUUGAAGUUUAAUGGUCUGAAAAUGGUUGGAGAUAUUACAAACCGAAACGUUGCAGUAAGAAAAGAUCCAAAUAAUCUCGAAAAAAAAGAAGAAACGGCCGAGUAAACCAUUUAUUUUAAUAUCUAAUUUUGGCACAUAUUUAGUAAACCUUACAGGGUGGUUCAUUAACAAUGAUAAUGCUAAAGACACGACAUGUCAGGGUAAGCACUGGCCUAAACAUGUCCUAUCCGUAUCAACAGAGGAUGUUACGAUCAAUUACUGUAAAUCGUUAUUACCUAGUUUUAUUUGCUUUAUUAUUAUGUGUUCCAAUAGAAUAAAAACACUCUUCGUUUUUUUACUUUAUUUCAUCGUAUGAUUAAAAUAUGUUACUGAAAUCGAUUUUACUCUAAAACGUAGAUUGAGAUUCCGACGUGAAACAAGAAUUGAAUAAUACAUUUUAGAUUUUCAAUAUUUGAGAAAUGGGGAUGUGUUAAAGCCAGUUGCAAAAUUGUUUAUUGCUGAAAUUACUUCUUGCAGAAAAAGUGUUAAAGCGUAAAACCACUUAGUUGGGCUGAGUUCAACAUAAACUGGGACGAAAAACGCUCAUAGUUCUGAAACAUCUUGUAUACAGGGUGUUUGAUAAGUUGACGCAUUCCUUGCAGGGGGUGAUAGUGCAAAUAAUUUUGGAUACAUUUCGUUAAUAGACCAUGUUCCAAAAACGCUUAGUUUUCGUUCUACAGGGUGUUAAAUUAAAAAAAAAAGUUGUUUAUGAAUGUUGCGGAAACCGCUUGGAAUAUUUUAAUGAAAUUUUUCAGGCUUAGGCACUUAACAACAGUACAUGUUUUGCGAUAAAAACAAAAAAAUGUCUAGCUUUUCCAGUGGAGUGGGCACGGGCACGCUGGAGAUCAUUUUAAAUUUAAACAUGUUACGCCACUGGUUUUUUAAACAAUAAACAUGAUGAUUCAAAUUUGGGUUGAAUUUCGAAGGUAAAAGGUUUCUUGACUUUUUUCUACCACGUUCCGUUCUUGAAUGAAUGAAUAUUGCGGAAUCUGCAGUGAGUCACAAAAUAACUUUUGGAGAUCGUUCGGAGAUACCUACACCCAUCCCGAUCCCUCCGACAAAUUCCGCCCGCAUCACCCAACAACAGUAAAAUGCGCGUGCGUCAGAUGCUCAAUCGAUCGGAUGUGCAACCAAAAUUGCCUCGCAACGAACGAGACUGGCGCAUCGUAAGAGAUCCACUAUGCAUAGCGGGCUUGGUGAUUUUGGAUCCAUUUUAUCAUUUCAAACCAUUUGGUUGGUUCAACCACAAUGUUAUUAAAAUUAAAUCCUUGUUUAGCGGGCAACGGUUUUUUACUUAAAUGUAUUUGAUUGAUGAACAUUCCCUAGAGUUGAGCCCAUAGUUCCGAAACACCUUGUAUAUAGCAAUUACUCUAAUUAUCAUUGUUUGUUCAAACAAAUAAGUGAGUGAGUCACCCUGUAUAUAUAUUUGAGUAUUAAUCAGUUCGCCGCAAGCGGGGCUUUGUGUAUA
rnacentral:lncRNA from 1 species